CUAUAGCUGAAAGAGCUGGAAGAGAAGACUAAUAAAGAAGAACCUGGACCUGCCUCUCGGAGUCUCGUGUCGUCUUUCCCGCAGGGAGCGCUGGGGAGCUCAUAACUAAUAGACUUAAAAUUACACAAGUAACAGGUGGAAUGUCUCAACAGGCAGCAAAUACCAACUUCUGAGCUUGGAGUGAGUUUACAUAUCCAAAAUGACUGAUUUUGCCUGCAGGUAUAUGUCASGAUUAGUCAUCGCUUAAUGCGCCUCCUUAUGUGGCUUUCUGAGUAGGACAGAGAAGCCCAAUUGCAGAAGCCUGAGGAAGAGCUGGAACAGAAUUGAAAUCAUAUGAUUUGCAGGCCCGUCUCUGACAGAAAGAUCAUUCUGCCCCACACAGUGAAAGGAACUAUGAAAAAUCUGUCACUCCUGGGUUAAACAUUUCUCACAUGGCUAAAAGAACAAAAUAGUUGCAGUCAAGUUCUCUAACUCAGUAACUGCUGUUGUGUCUGGUUCAUAAUUUCUCUCCUUUCCUGUAUUAUAGCCCUUCUAGAGAAAGAGAUGACAGAGCCACCAGACUAUCUGGAGGCACUGCUGCAGUGCCUGCACAAAAGAACAAACAAACCACCAUUGAAUCAUAUGCCAGCUUUUGUAUUUGAUAUGCAUAACUUUACAUUUGUGUAUCUGUCAGUAUUUUGUUGUAUUUGCAUCCCUCUUUUUUAAUCUCAGAGGUGGGACAGCAACAGAGGUGGGAUGACAAAUCAUUUGUAUUAUUUGGGUAUCUAAAAUAUAUGCAAUUCUAUAAAGAAAGGAGGCUUAGUGGUGUUCCAAACCUCUGUGUUUCUUUCUGUUAAGGAACACAGAGGUUUGGAACACCACUAAGCCUCCUUUCCAUCUUCCUCCAUUUUCGAUCUUCCUGAGAUGGAAAUUCUCAGUGGGGUAGUUAGAAUAACAAACAAACUCAAUCUGAGUGUGUAUGUAGAAUUGUAGAAUUCAAGAAAAAGCUUUAUUUCCUACUUCCUCCUUAUAGGUCUAAAUAUAAGAUUUAAAACACUUAAGUGCUGUUUUUCGUAACAGUCGGAGAACACCAAGUUUUAUGGAAGACUUCCAUAUAUCUUGGGGUAGCUACAACAGAAUUUUUCUUAUAUUUGUGACAAGCCAAAACACUUAUUAAAUCUCAGCAAAAGGCCGUUUGUUUGUUUGUU